ACCCUGAGGAGUUAUGGACGUUACACAUCGACGGCUCAUCAAAUGCUUCCGGAGCUGGGGCUGGAUUGAUCUUAAUCGAUCCUGAAGGUGAUGUUGCGGAAUACGUAUUACACUUUGAAUUUUCAACCACCAACAAUGAGACAAAAUAUAAAGUUCUACUUGCUAGACUCAAGGUGGUGAGAGAAAUGGGAUCCCAGUGCCUGAAGAUC
rnacentral:lncRNA from 1 species